ACCCAAUCCCGACUCGGGGAGGUAGUGACAAUAAAUACUGAUACAGGGCCCUUUCGGGCCUUGUAAUUGGAAUGAGUACAAUUUAAAUCCCUUAACGAGGAACAAUUGGAGGGCAAGUCUGGUGCCAGCAGCCGCGGUAAUUCCAGCUCCAAUAGCGUAUAUUAAAGUUGUUGUGGUUAAAAAGCUCGUAGUUGAACCUUGGGCCUGGCUGGCCGGUCCGCCUCACCGCGUGCACUGGUCCGGCCGGGCCUUUCCCUCUGUGGAACCCCAUACCCUUCACUGGGCGUGGCGGGGAAACAGGACAUUUACUUUGAAAAAAUUAGAGUGCUCCAGGCAGGCCUAUGCUCGAAUACAUUAGCAUGGAAUAAUAAAAUAGGACGCGCGGUUCUAUUUUGUUGGUUUAUAGGACCGCCGUAAUGAUUAAUAGGGACAGUCGGGGGCAUCAGUAUUCAACUGUCAGAGGUGAAAUUCUUGGAUCAGUUGAAGACUAACUACUGCGAAAGCAUUUGCCAAGGAUGUUUUCAUUAAUCAGGAACGAAAGUUAGGGGAUCGAAGACGAUCAGAUACCGUCGUAGUCUUAACCAUAAACUAUGCCGACUAGGGAUCGGACGGUGUUAUUCAUGACCCGUUCGGCACCUUACGAGAAAUCAAAGUGCUUGGGCUCCAGGGGGAGUAUGGUCGCAAGGCUGAAACUUAAAGAAAUUGACGGAAGGGCACCACCAGGGGUGGAGCCUGCGGCUUAAUUUGACUCAACACGGGGAAACUCACCAGGUCCAGACACAAUAAGGAUUGACAGAUUGAGAG
rnacentral:rRNA from 1 species